rnacentral:rRNA from 1 species
GACGAACGCUGGCGGCGUGCUUAACACAUGCAAGUCACGGGGGCCCGCAAGGGCAACCGGCGAACGGGUGCGUAACACGUGAGCAAUCUGCCGAUUACUGGGGGAUAGCCGGCCCAACGGCCGGGUAAUACCGCAUACGCUUUUUGGGGGACAUCCCCUGAAAAGGAAACCUCCGGGGGUAAUCGAGGAGCUCGCGACCUAUCAGCUUGUUGGCGGGGUAACGGCCCACCAAGGCUACGACGGGUAGCUGGUCUGAGAGGAUGGCCAGCCACAUUGGGACUGCGACACGGCCCAGACUCCUACGGGAGGCAGCAGUGGGGAAUAUUGCGCAAUGGACGAAAGUCUGACGCAGCGACGCCGCGUGUGGGAUGAAGCUCUUCGGGGUGUAAACCACUGUUGCCCGGGACGAACUUCUGGUUUCGACCAGAUUGACGGUACCGGGUGAGGAAGCACCGGCUAACUCUGUGC